CUAAACGACGCUUUUCCGAUAUAUAAGCCUCAAAGCUAAACCCAGUGGCUUCUGUCUCCAAACCCACAAUUUCCAGUCUGGAAGCUUCUUCGGUCCUUCAUGCCCUAAAGGUGAAAUGUGUAAUAAUUACAACUUCUGAAAAGGACUGGCCAGGAUUCUGGCCUAAGGUGUAGAAAAUCAUGAAACCGAAGACUGGACCAACCAGCACGGGCCACAACAGCUCGUCUGAUCCGAAGGCAAGGGGGAGGUCCCUUGGGAGCAUUUGCCCCUGCUGUGGCUCUGUGCUCUUUCCGUGAAAUAAGUUUAUAUUUCCAACGAGAGGGUUUUCUGCCCCCGUCCCACCACUUUUCUGUACAUAGAUGGUAAAUCGUGGAGGCCCUUUCUCGUCUCCCCAACCCCUGGCUGGUGGGGCUGUAUUUGAACAAAAUAAAUUACAAACAAAAACUAAGCACAGUGUGUAACUUUAGAAGGCACGUGCUUCAUUCCUGCGGGUUCAGAUGAGACUCGAGUCACAGACUCCUCUCAGAAAGGCUCAUGCAGGUCACGCCCCUGACAGAGUCCCCCGGCCCCUGGUUCUCGUCCUCAUCGCUCCCCUCCACCAGUGGCCGCUUUCCAAGGCUAACUCUAGUUGCACAGAGAGAAAUGCUAGUCCUGUGCUGUCCUUUCCUUCUUGGGACGUUUUUCACUAAGCCUGCUGUCAAGGCUGAGUGUGUGUGGAGUUUGAAAACGCCCUUCUUCAAAAGUGCACCUUAUUGUUUUUUAAUUAAAUGGCACCUUUAACUGAUGUUCAAAACCCAAGAAGUCUCAUUGUAUUAAAUAAAAAAUAGAUCAAAAAAAGGUGAAGGGGUGAGGAGAUUGAGAUCCAGAACUGAAACUUCUAACAAAGAGGUUCAUUCACUCUUUCUUGUCAGAUCAGCUUCCUGGUUGGAGCAGAGCAUGGAGGAGCCGAUUCGUGAUGCAACCCCUCUUCACCAGCUCAGCGGGACGGAACUCGCCUGUGCCCCACGUGGAUGCCCUUAGCACUGUCCUAUCGACAGAUUUUAAAACUACCUCAACACAAGCACCCAUGGGUUGAUUGAAAUCCUCCAUGUUUAUCAUUCUUUUGCCUGAAGCUCUGUUCAGGCAAAGGAAAAUGAAGAGGUUUUCUACAGAAAGACCCUCUCUACUCCAAAUGAUUGUAAUGCAUUUGUCAAAUAAGAGAAGCGGGGCAACCUGGAAGUAAUGAGAGUGGGCUUGGUACCACCUGGUCACCUCCGUGAGGGCCCAGCACGGUGCAACACUCCUUCCUGCACCAGCCGGGCAGGUACUGGUACCCGUGAUGGGCUGUCACUAUAGGAACCUUGGCUGGGAGCCUCAACAGAACACCCUUGAGCCGACUGUGCCCCAGAAGGAACUGCUUUCCCUCAGCAACCAGAACAUGAGGUCACUCCUUGGCUACGGAGCCCAGGUAACAAACAAAGGCCCAGGAAAUCUCAGUUACGAGUCUUUCUUACUAUGUUUUGGUUUGAGGUCAAGUGGAGGCCUCAGGCUUGUGAGUCAGGUGUCAUUUUUCCUUCUGCAAACUGAAUUCUCUUGAAAAGCAUGUAAGAAAGAAGAAAGAAAGGGAGGGAGGGAGUGAAAACAAAGACAAA